AUGGUGGAUUCAAAUAGAGGAUACGGUAAGCUGCUGAGUCUUGUUGUACUUUAUAAUCUCUUUGCAGACUCUCGAGCACCAAUAUCUGCACCACUUCCUUUAUUGUUAAGGGGUUUCCCCAGCCAUGAAGCUGUUACAUUUGCUGAUACAUGGAUUUUCCUAGUGCCCGGUCUUGCGAUAGCGGAAGAGGCAAAAGCACCUUAA